rnacentral:lncRNA from 1 species
CUGGAGCUAGAAGGGGGCAGGGAAAUGGGACGAUGACCAGAUGUGGCCCAUGGCAAGGCCGUGCAUUGUGAAGGGAGGAGGAGGGUCUGAGAUCCGGGAGCCCUGCAGAGAGUUUGCUGAAGAGUGAAGAAAGGACGGCGUUAGUAAUGGGAUGAGGGAUACUGGAGUCCGAAUUAACAUAGCACACAGAGAGAUAUUCAGGAAAAUACAUCAUAUCUUGCACUUGGGUGGAAAAGAGCAGAAAUCCUUGGUUAACAGGAUUAUACGCAAUGGUGCAGAAAGCAUUCUCUAAAGAAAAAUCAGAGAGGAAGAAACACUGCAUGGAGAAUCCAAGAAACACUCUAAGAAUUGAAGUUAAAAUGUCGGAGGUAAGAAAGUGACAAUCCUUGGAGGAAUAUUUUUG